rnacentral:tRNA from 1 species
GCCGGGAUGGUCUAGUGGUUAUGACGUCUGCCUUACACGCAGAAGAUCGCGAGUUCAAUCCUCGCUUCUGGUA